rnacentral:rRNA from 1 species
UACGUAGGUGGCAAGCGUUGUCCGGAAUUAUUGGGCGUAAAGCGUAUGUAGGCGGCUUUUCAAGUCAGGUGUGAAAUCCCAUGGCUUAACCAUGGAACUGCAUUUGAAACUGUAAAGCUUGAGUAUUGGAGAGGAUGGUAGAAUUCCUGGUGUAGUGGUGAAAUACGUAGAUAUCAGGAGGAAUACCGAUGGCGAAGGCAGGUCUCUGGGCCACUACUGACGCUGAGAAGCGAAAGCAUGGGGAGCGAACAGG